UACGAAGGGGGCUAGCGUUGCUCGGAAUUACUGGGCGUAAAGGGAGCGUAGGCGGACAGUUUAGUCAGAGGUGAAAGCCCAGGGCUCAACCCUGGAAUUGCCUUUGAUACUGAUUGUCUUGAGUAUGGGAGAGGUGAGUGGAACUCCGAGUGAUAGAGGUGAAAUUCGUAGAUAUUCGGAAGAACACCAGUGGCGAAGGCGACUCACUGGCCCAUUACUGACGCUGAGGCUCGAAAGCGUGGGGAGCAAACAGG
rnacentral:rRNA from 1 species